rnacentral:rRNA from 1 species
AUACGUAGGGUGCAAGCGUUAAUCGGAAUUACUGGGCGUAAAGCGUGCGCAGGCGGUUUUGUAAGACAGAGGUGAAAUCCCCGGGCUCAACCUGGGAACUGCCUUUGUGACUGCAAGGCUAGAGUACGGCAGAGGGGGAUGGAAUUCCGCGUGUAGCAGUGAAAUGCGUAGAUAUGCGGAGGAACACCGAUGGCGAAGGCAAUCCCCUGGGCCUGUACUGACGCUCAUGCACGAAAGCGUGGGGAGCAAACAGGAUUAGAUGCCCUGGUAGUCCACGCCCUAAACGAUGUCAACUGGUUGUUGGGUCUUCAUUGACUCAGUAACGAAGCUAACGCGUGAAGGUGACCGCCUGGGGAGUACGGCCGCAAGGUUGAAACUCAAAUGAAUUGACGGGG